UUUUUUUUUUUUUUCUCCUUUUUUUUUUUUUUUUUUUUUUUUUUUUUUUUUUCUCCCCCCCCCCCCCCCCCCCCCCCGUGUAUUAUUCAUAAAGAGAUGAUAUAAUACUAUAAUAAAAAGCAGUACCCGUCAAGUCCACAAAACCUUGCCCAACCAAGUCUUAUUUAUUUAGAACCCCGUACAUUCAUUCAUACAUUCAUCGAAAAGACGCAUUCCUCAAUUGGUUACACUUAAAGAUAGAUAGAUCAUAGAUUGUUUGUAUUGCAUGGUACUUCUAUAUAUAUAUCU
rnacentral:ribozyme from 1 species